rnacentral:rRNA from 1 species
CAGUAGCCGCGGUAAUACGAAGGGUGCAAGCGUUAAUCGGAAUUACUGGGCGUAAAGCGUGCGCAGGCGGUUAUAUAAGUCAGAUGUGAAAUCCCCGGGCUCAACCUGGGAACUGCAUUUGAGACUGUAUGGCUAGAGUGUGUCAGAGGGGGGUAGAAUUCCACGUGUAGCAGUGAAAUGCGUAGAUAUGUGGAGGAAUACCGAUGGCGAAGGCAGCCCCCUGGGAUAACACUGACGCUCAUGCACGAAAGCGUGGGGAGCAAACAGGAUUAGAUACCCGUGUAGUCCCUGUCUCUUAUAA